rnacentral:rRNA from 1 species
ACGGGAGGCAGCAGUGGGGAAUAUUGCACAAUGGGGGAAACCCUGAUGCAGCGACGCCGCGUGAGCGAAGAAGUAUUUCGGUAUGUAAAGCUCUAUCAGCAGGGAAGAAAAUGACGGUACCUGACUAAGAAGCCCCGGCUAACUACGUGCCAGCAGCCGCGGUAAUACGUAGGGGGCAAGCGUUAUCCGGAUUUACUGGGUGUAAAGGGAGCGUAGACGGCAAGGCAAGUCUGAUGUGAAAGGUGGGGGCUUAACUCCCAAACUGCAUUGGAAACUGUCUGGCUUGAGUGCCGGAGAGGUAAGCGGAAUUCCUAGUGUAGCGGUGAAAUGCGUAGAUAUUAGGAGGAACACCAGUGGCGAAGGCGGCUUACUGGACGGUAACUGACGUUGAGGCUCGAAAGCGUGGGGAGCAAACAGGAUUAGAUACCCUGGUA